rnacentral:rRNA from 1 species
GGUUAAGCGACUAAGCGUACACGGUGGAUGCCCUGGCAGUCAGAGGCGAUGAAGGACGUGCUAAUCUGCGAUAAGCGUCGGUAAGGUGAUAUGAACCGUUAUAACCGGCGAUUUCCGAAUGGGGAAACCCAGUGUGUUUCGACACACUAUCAUUAACUGAAUCCAUAGGUUAAUGAGGCGAACCGGGGGAACUGAAACAUCUAAGUACCCCGAGGAAAAGAAAUCAACCGAGAUUCCCCCAGUAGCGGCGAGCGAACGGGGAGCAGCCCAGAGCCUGAAUCAGUGUGUGUGUUAGUGGAAGCGUCUGGAAAGGCGCGCGAUACAGGGUGACAGCCCCGUACACAAAAAUGCACAUGCUGUGAGCUCGAUGAGUAGGGCGGGACACGUGGUAUCCUGUCUGAAUAUGGGGGGACCAUCCUCCAAGGCUAAAUACUCCUGACUGACCGAUAGUGAACCAGUACCGUGAGGGAAAGGCGAAAAGAACCCCGGCGAGGGGAGUGAAAAAGAACCUGAAACCGUGUACGUACAAGCAGUGGGAGCACGCUUAGGCGUGUGACUGCGUACCUUUUGUAUAAUGGGUCAGCGACUUAUAUUCUGUAGCAAGGUUAACCGAAUAGGGGAGCCGAAGGGAAACCGAGUCUUAACUGGGCGUUAAGUUGCAGGGUAUAGACCCGAAACCCGGUGAUCUAGCCAUGGGCAGGUUGAAGGUUGGGUAACACUAACUGGAGGACCGAACCGACUAAUGUUGAAAAAUUAGCGGAUGACUUGUGGCUGGGGGUGAAAGGCCAAUCAAACCGGGAGAUAGCUGGUUCUCCCCGAAAGCUAUUUAGGUAGCGCCUCGUGAAUUCAUCUCCGGGGGUAGAGCACUGUUUCGGCAAGGGGGUCAUCCCGACUUACCAACCCGAUGCAAACUGCGAAUACCGGAGAAUGUUAUCACGGGAGACACACGGCGGGUGCUAACGUCCGUCGUGAAGAGGGAAACAACCCAGACCGCCAGCUAAGGUCCCAAAGUCAUGGUUAAGUGGGAAACGAUGUGGGAAGGCCCAGACAGCCAGGAUGUUGGCUUAGAAGCAGCCAUCAUUUAAAGAAAGCGUAAUAGCUCACUGGUCGAGUCGGCCUGCGCGGAAGAUGUAACGGGGCUAAACCAUGCACCGAAGCUGCGGCAGCGACGCUGAUGCGUUGUUGGGUAGGGGAGCGUUCUGUAAGCCUGCGAAGGUGUGCUGUGAGGCAUGCUGGAGGUAUCAGAAGUGCGAAUGCUGACAUAAGUAACGAUAAAGCGGGUGAAAAGCCCGCUCGCCGGAAGACCAAGGGUUCCUGUCCAACGUUAAUCGGGGCAGGGUGAGUCGACCCCUAAGGCGAGGCCGAAAGGCGUAGUCGAUGGGAAACAGGUUAAUAUUCCUGUACUUGGUGUUACUGCGAAGGGGGGACGGAGAAGGCUAUGUUGGCCGGGCGACGGUUGUCCCGGUUUAAGCGUGUAGGCUGGUUUUCCAGGCAAAUCCGGAAAAUCAAGGCUGAGGCGUGAUGACGAGGCACUACGGUGCUGAAGCAACAAAUGCCCUGCUUCCAGGAAAAGCCUCUAAGCAUCAGGUAACAUCAAAUCGUACCCCAAACCGACACAGGUGGUCAGGUAGAGAAUACCAAGGCGCUUGAGAGAACUCGGGUGAAGGAACUAGGCAAAAUGGUGCCGUAACUUCGGGAGAAGGCACGCUGAUAUGUAGGUGAAGUCCCUCGCGGAUGGAGCUGAAAUCAGUCGAAGAUACCAGCUGGCUGCAACUGUUUAUUAAAAACACAGCACUGUGCAAACACGAAAGUGGACGUAUACGGUGUGACGCCUGCCCGGUGCCGGAAGGUUAAUUGAUGGGGUUAGCGCAAGCGAAGCUCUUGAUCGAAGCCCCGGUAAACGGCGGCCGUAACUAUAACGGUCCUAAGGUAGCGAAAUUCCUUGUCGGGUAAGUUCCGACCUGCACGAAUGGCGUAAUGAUGGCCAGGCUGUCUCCACCCGAGACUCAGUGAAAUUGAACUCGCUGUGAAGAUGCAGUGUACCCGCGGCAAGACGGAAAGACCCCGUGAACCUUUACUAUAGCUUGACACUGAACAUUGAGCCUUGAUGUGUAGGAUAGGUGGGAGGCUUUGAAGUGUGGACGCCAGUCUGCAUGGAGCCGACCUUGAAAUACCACCCUUUAAUGUUUGAUGUUCUAACGUUGACCCGUAAUCCGGGUUGCGGACAGUGUCUGGUGGGUAGUUUGACUGGGGCGGUCUCCUCCUAAAGAGUAACGGAGGAGCACGAAGGUUGGCUAAUCCUGGUCGGACAUCAGGAGGUUAGUGCAAUGGCAUAAGCCAGCUUGACUGCGAGCGUGACGGCGCGAGCAGGUGCGAAAGCAGGUCAUAGUGAUCCGGUGGUUCUGAAUGGAAGGGCCAUCGCUCAACGGAUAAAAGGUACUCCGGGGAUAACAGGCUGAUACCGCCCAAGAGUUCAUAUCGACGGCGGUGUUUGGCACCUCGAUGUCGGCUCAUCACAUCCUGGGGCUGAAGUAGGUCCCAAGGGUAUGGCUGUUCGCCAUUUAAAGUGGUACGCGAGCUGGGUUUAGAACGUCGUGAGACAGUUCGGUCCCUAUCUGCCGUGGGCGCUGGAGAAUUGAGGGGGGCUGCUCCUAGUACGAGAGGACCGGAGUGGACGCAUCACUGGUGUUCGGGUUGUCAUGCCAAUGGCACUGCCCGGUAGCUAAAUGCGGAAGAGAUAAGUGCUGAAAGCAUCUAAGCACGAAACUUGCCCCGAGAUGAGUUCUCCCUGACUCCUUGAGAGUCCUGAAGGAACGUUGAAGACGACGACGUUGAUAGGCCGGGUGUGUAAGCGCAGCGAUGCGUUGAGCUAACCGGUACUAAUGAACCGUGAGGCUUAACCUU